GUGACACGUGAGCCCACAUCUAUCCAAAAUGCAUCGGAAGUUGGAAACCUACAGCUUUUACCGAUUCGAGUCCAAAUGAAGGUCCUUGUCAAAGUCAGCUAACUAUGGAAUUCCUCGAGCCUGAAAUGUGAGGAAAUGAGGGUGGUGAGAUUAUAAAAUCCUAGUGAGUAAACAGAUACCAUCUAAACUAUCUAAAGUUGAGUAAAUGGAGACAAUUAAAAUAAAUCAUCAUACUAUAAUUUCAUUACCUUUCAACUCAUUUCAACCAAAUAAAAUCAAUCCAUAAAAAUCGAAUAAUCAACUUGGCUUAUGAAUUUCUUAAAAUUUUGGCUCGUGCCAAAACUCAUACUCGGUGAUACCUUGCGCAGGGCAUCCAACCGAGUCCGUCAAGGCUGUUAAAAUUUUGUAUACACUUAAAAUAUAUUUUUAGUUUGAGAAAA
rnacentral:lncRNA from 1 species